AAAUGGCGAAAGCUUUCUAUUAUCCAUAACACCUGUGAACUAUUUGCCUUCGGGCACCAAUCCAAACAUAAUGUAAUGAAUGUAAUCUACUAUAAUAAAUAUAACUUUCAACAACGGAUCUCUUGGCUCU
rnacentral:misc_RNA from 1 species